CAGGCUCCCAGCACCCACCCACCACCAAACCAGGCUCCCAGCACCCACCCACCAUCACACCAGGUUCAAAUUAUGCUGGAACCAUCACACCAAAUCCCACCAGUGCGGCAGCCACGUAAAAGAACCAAAACAAUUAAAGAUUGCUCUCACAACCAUCUGGAGGUGUUCCCUGUCCGCAACAUAAUAAAGACAAGGAACCGAAAGGGGGGGACGGAGCACCUUUAUGACUGGGAGCCCUGCACCAUUUGGUAUGUUAAUUGGCUUUUGUACAAUUACAUCUAUGUGUACAUUUGUGGUAAUUGUUGGCAUGCCAUUAUCUUAGGUGGCAUUUGUUAAAGAAAAAUGCAAAAAGUUCUGCUGUCUGUAGCACCAGCUAUACACAAGUUAUUUUAAAUGUGCAAAGUCCACACUAAACGAUACAUUGAAACUAGGUAGUUUAUUUAAUUAAAGCUGUGUCAAUAUUUGAUUACACCACAGAGACACCAGGUUCACGUUAGCUAC